GCUAAUGACGUGCCAGCAGCGGGGGUAAUACGUAGGGUGCGAGAGUUGUCCGGAUUUACUGGGUGUAAAGGGUGCUCAGGUGGAUUUGUAAGUCAGAGGUGAAAUCCCAAAGCUCAACUUUGGAGCUGCCUUUGAUACUGCAAGUCUUGAGUUUGGAAGAGGGUAAUGGAAUAUCUGGUGUAGCAGUGAAAUGCGUAGAUAUCAGAUAGAACACCAAUGGCGAAGGCAGUUACCUGGUCCAAAACUGACACUAAAGCACGAAAGUGUGGGGAGCAAACAGGAUUAGAUACCCUGGUAGUC
rnacentral:rRNA from 1 species